rnacentral:rRNA from 1 species
UACAGAGGUCUCAAGCGUUGUUCGGAUUCAUUGGGCGUAAAGGGUGCGUAGGCGGCGCGGUAAGUCGGGUGUGAAAAUCUCGGAGCUUAACUCCGAAACUGCAUUCGAUACUGCCGUGCUUGAGGACUGGAGAGGAGACUGGAAUUUACGGUGUAGCGGUGAAAUGCGUAGAUAUCGUAAGGAAGACCAGUGGCGAAGGCGGGUCUCUGGACAGUUCCUGACGCUGAGGCACGAAGGUCAGGGGGAGCAAACGGG